rnacentral:ncRNA from 2 species
CGACCUCUCGCGGGAGAGAUCGCCGGGGCGGUCGCCCCGGUGGCGCCGAAGGAGCAACCGCCCCCGGAAACUCUCAGGCAAAUGGGACCGCAGAGGGAAG